CUGAAAUGUAUCCCUACAAAAGCCCAAGAGAGAGAGUGAAUAAAUUAGAAAAGAGAACUCAGAUAAUCCUCAGGUAUAAUUUGAAAUUCAACAGUUGUAUUUUGGAAUAUCUUGUGGGAAAUAUCUUUUGGUAACAAUCCAGGGCAAGUAUAUAUUUAGUUUGGGGGCAUCUACACUUGGCAAGACAUUCAAAAGAUUCAUAAAGGCCUUUAUUCAAUGAGUUUUUGCUUAUAAAAUCAUUUGUUGAACAGGGCACAGUGAAGGCUGAGGCAGAAGGAUGGAAAGUUUGAAGCCAGGCUUAAAAUAAAAUAAAAAGGGCUGUGGAUGUAGCUCUGUGGCAGAGCACUUGCCUGUCCAUGAGCAAGGCCCUGAGUUCAACCCCCAGCACUACCAAAAAAAAGAAGAAGAAGAAGAAGAAGAAGAAGAAGAAGAAGAAGAAGAAGAAGAAGAAGAAGAAGAAAGAAAGAAAAUCAUAUGUUGAAAUACUCUAGAGACAAAAAUACAGUACUUGGGAAAAUAAUUGGACUGAAACGUUCAAUUUGAAAAUUGAAUAUUUCAUUGGUGAAAAGUCAAGAAAAAUUAAAUUGCAAAUAUAUUCUGUUUAGCAGAAUUUGUUUUGAGGUCACUAAGUGCUUCAGUACCUAGAGAGAGAGUUAUUUUUUCAGACAAUAGGCAACUUAAGGUGAUAACAAUUUUAAAAUGUAUUAACCUUAGAAUGCAAUCUUCAAGUUGAUUGCAAGCACUUAUAGAUUAAUUUACCAUAAUAAGACCUUAUUAAAAUAUAUAUUCCUCAGAAAAAUACCAAUGACACUAUAUUAAGCAGAAUAUUACAAAAAUUGAUUAGCUCAGAAAACUUAACACCAAAACAACAAAUAACUCAAUCAAUAAAUGGGCAAAAGAACUAAGCAGAUAUUUCCCAAAAGAAGAAACACAAACGGUCAACAGAUAUAUGAAAAAUCAACAUCCCUAGAAUCAGGGAAAUGCAAACCAAAAUUACAUUAAGACUUCAUCUCACUUCAGUCACUAUGGCAAUUAUCAAAAAUACAAACAAUAAGUACUGAUGAGAAUGUGGGGGAAAAUGUACACUUGUACCUUGUUAGUGGCACUGCAGACUAGUACAGCCAUUCUGGAAAGCCACAUGAAGGCCCUUCAAAAAUCCAGGAAUGGAACAACCUUAUGACCCAGCUAUGCCAUCUCUUUGUAUUUAUCCAAAAGAACUCAAAUCAGCAUGCUUUACCAAUACAGCCACUCCGAU
rnacentral:lncRNA from 1 species